AGGUCAGGGAGAGGAAAAAAUGUUCCAGAUGGAUAGUGACCAGGAGGGAAAUUAGAUUUCAUGCCAGGGAGCCCGGAGGCCAGACUGCCUUCACAGUCAUUUAGAUUGAGGAGGCCACAGACUUUUCUGAUCGCAGCCUGUCAUCUGUCCCCUGCGAGGCCAUGUGGUGGUCCCUGGCGGCCCUCGUGGGCCUGUACUGCCUCCUGCGCUGGUACCGGGAGAGACAGGUGGUGAGCCACCUCUAGGACAAGUACGUCUUCAUCACGGGCUGUGACUCGGGCUUCGGGAACCUGCUGGCCCGGCAGCUGGACCUGCGAGGCUUGAGGGUGCUGGCUGCAUGUCUGACGGAGAAGGGGGCCCAGCAGCUGAGAAGCCAGACGUCAGACAGGCUGGGCACGGUGAUCCUGGAUGUCACCAAGACAGAUCAUCUUGGCGGCCGCCCAGUGGGUGGAGGAGCGUGUGGGGGACACACAGGAGGGAGCUCACCUACUUCGGGGUGAAGGUAGCUGUGAUCGAGCCUGGUUACUUCAGCACUAACGUGACCAACCCUGAGAAGAUUUCCAGGGGCUUCCAGGAGACAUGGGACCGGCUGAGCCCGGAGGUCAGGGAGGCCUAUGGGGAGGAGUUCCUGGCCUCUGCCUGUGCUCCCUGCAAGGCCAUGUGGUGGUCCCUGGCAGUCCUCGUGGGCCUGUACUACCUCCUGCGCUGGUACCGGGAGAGACAGGUGGUGAGCCACCUGCAGGACAAGUACGUCUUCAUCACGGGCUGUGACUCGGGCUUCGGGAACCUGCUGGCCCGGCAGCUGGACCUGCGAGGCUUGAGGGUGCUGGCUGCAUGUCUGACGGAGAAGGGGGCCCAGCAGCUGAGAAGCCAGACGUCAGACAGGCUGGACACAGUGAUCCUGGAUGUCACCAAGACAGAGAGCAUCUUGGCGGCCACCCAGUGGGUGGAGGAGCAUGUGGGGGACAGAGGGCUCUGGGGCCUGGUGAAUAAUGCUGGCAUCUCUUGGCCCACGGCACCCAAUGAAUGGCUGACCAAGGAUGACUUCAUGAAGAUACUUGACGUGAACCUGUUGGGGUUGGUGGAGGUGACCCUGAGCCUGCUGUCCCUGGUGAGGAAGGCGAGGGGCCGUGUGGUCAACGUCUCCAGCAUCAUGGGCCGACUGUCUCUCUGCGGUGGGGGCUACUGCAUCUCCAAAUAUGGUGUCGAGGCCUUCUCGGACUCCCUCAGGAGGGAGCUCACCUACUUCGGGGUGAAGGUAGCUGUGAUCGAGCCUGGUUACUUCAGCACUAACGUGACCAACCCUGAGAAGAUUUCCAGGGGCUUCCAGGAGACAUGGGACCGGCUGAGCCCGGAGGUCAGGGAGGCCUAUGGGGAGGAGUUCCUGGCCUCUGGAAGCCAAUUGAAAAGCUGAAGUCAAUGUGUGACACCAAUCUAUACUUGGUGACGAACUGCAUGGAACAUGCCCUGACAGCCUGCCACCCCCGUACCCGAUACUCACCUGGCUGGGAUGCUAAGCUCCUCUACCUCCCCAUGAGCUACCUGCCCACCUUGCUGGUGGACACCAUGAUCUACUGGAACUCUCCACGCCCGGCUAAGGCUGUGUAACCCAAGAAGGACUAGGGCUUCCCGGGGACAUUACUCAGGACUCUGGGAUAUCAGGAGGAAAGAACUGUUUUGUGGCUGAGGAACAGGGAUGGAGGUGUGAAUGAUGACCACCAGCCUGACCCAUUAGCCUGAAAGGCCAACUCACAGACCUUGGCUGAAAGGACGUGUCUAUAAUUGGGAUCAGGACAGAGGACACAGAAACCAGUUAUUGAGUUGUCUUGACACUUUGAUGUUCAUUGAUUGUGUUUGCCUCAAAAUAAAAGUUGAAAAGUUGACCUAA